GCCAACGUAGCUCAAUUGGCAGAGCACUCGAUUCGUAAUUGAGAGGUUAAGGGUUCAAUUCCCUUCGUUGGCUCCA
rnacentral:tRNA from 1 species